AUGGUCUUGCUCUGUUGCCCAGGCUGGAGUGCAGUGGUACAAUCACAGCUCGCUGCAGCCUCAACCUCCUGGGAGAAGGUGAACCUCCCACCUCAGCCUCCCAAGUAGCUGGGACUAUAGGCACACAUCACCACACCUGGCUAAUUUUUUUUUUUCUUGUAGACACAGGGUUUUGCCAUGUUGCCCAGGCUGGUCUCGAAAUCCUGAGCUCUAGCAAUCCACCCACCUUGGCCUUCUAAAGUACUGGGAUUACAGGCGUGAGCCACCGAGCUAGGCCACAGUCAAUGCUCUUAGUGAUCUCACUCCAGACAUACUCCUCCAGCCUCAUUGUUUCCGAGCCCCAACCACACAUGGUACUUGCCAGAUGUCAGAGGCUAACUACUCUUUCCCUAACAGAAUAUCUACUAUCCUACUCGCAUGCCACAAUCACAAUACUCUCUAUAUACCUAAAAUGCCUAUGCCUUCUUCUCUACCUAGCUAGCACCUAUUCAUAUUUUAAGACCCAGCUUAAUGUCACAUUCCCUCUGAGGUCUUCCCCACUACUCCAUUUUUUUCUUUUUUUGAGGUAGAGUCUGACUCUGUUGCCCAGGUUGAAGCGCAGUGGCAUGAUCUCAGCUCACUGCAGCCUUGACCUCCCGGGCUCAUGCAAUUCUCCCCACCUCAACCUCCUAAGUAGCUGGGACUACAGGCGCACACCACCACACCCAUCUAAUUUUUGUAUUUUCUGU
rnacentral:lncRNA from 10 species